AUUGAACGCUGGCGGCAGGCCUAACACAUGCAAGUCGAACGAGUGGCGGACGGGUGAGUAAUGGCUGGGAAACUGCCCGAUGGAGGGGGUAAACUACGGGAAACUGUAGCUAAUACCGCAUAACAUCCGAUGUGCCCAAGUGGGUUUAGCUAGUUGGUGGGGUAACGGCUCACCAAGGCGACGAUCCCUAACUGGGCUGAGAGGAUGACCAGCCAAACUGGGACUGAGACACGUUCCAGACUCCUACGGGAGGAAGCAGUGGGGAAUAUUGCACAAUGGGCGCAAGCCUGAGUCAGCCAUGCCGCGUGUGUGAAGAAGGCCUUCGGGUUGUAAAGCACUUUCAGUGGGGAGGCGUUACCCACAGAAGAAGCACCGGCUAACUCCGUGCCAGCAGCCGCGGUAAUAC
rnacentral:rRNA from 1 species